GACGAACGCUGGCGGCGUGCUUAACACAUGCAAGUCGAACGGAAAGGCCCUGCUUUUGUGGGGUGCUCGAGUGGCGAACGGGUGAGUAACACGUGAGUAACCUGCCCUUGACUUUGGGAUAACUUCAGGAAACUGGGGCUAAUACCGGAUAGGAGCUCCUGCUGCAUGGUGGGGGUUGGAAAGUUUCGGCGGUUGGGGAUGGACUCGCGGCUUAUCAGCUUGUUGGUGGGGUAGGGGCUUACCAAGGCUUUGACGGGUAGCCGGCCUGAGAGGGUGACCGGCCCAAUGGGACUGAGAAAAGGGCCCAACCCCCUAGGGGGGGAAGCGGGGGGAAAUAUUCCCCAAGGGGGGGAAGCUGGAGGCGCAAACCCCCCGGGCGGGAGGAGGGCCUUGGGGUUGUAAACCCUUUUCCCCUGUGACGAAGCGGGAGUGACGGUAAUGGGAAAAGAAGACCCGGCAAACUACGU
rnacentral:rRNA from 1 species